rnacentral:rRNA from 1 species
CUACGAGAGGCUCCAGUGAGGAAUCUUGCGCAAUGGGGGAAACCCUGACGCAGCCACGCCGCGUGGGUGAAGAAGGCUUUCGGGUCGUAAAGCCCUGUCAGGUGGGAAGAAACGCAUUGAGUCGAAUAAACUCUUUGCCUGACGGUACCACCAAAGGAAGCACCGGCUAACUCCGUGCCAGCAGCCGCGGUAAUACGGAGGGUGCAAGCGUUGUUCGGAAUUACUGGGCGUAAAGGGUGUGCAGGUGGCUACAUAAGUCGGAUGUGAAAGCCCUCGGCUUAACCGAGGAAGUGCAUCCGAUACUGUGUAGCUUGAGUCCCGGAGAGGGGGAUGGAAUUCCCGGUGUAGAGGUGAAAUUCGUAGAUAUCGGGAGGAACACCAGUGGCGAAGGCGAUCCCCUGGACGAGGACUGACGCUCAUACACGAAAGCGUGGGUAGCAAACAGGAUUAGAUACCCCAGUAGUC